UACGGAGGGAGCUAGCGUUGUUCGGAAUUACUGGGCGUAAAGCGCCCGUAGGCGGCUUUGUAAGUUAGAGGUGAAAGCCUGGGGCUCAACUCCAGAAUUGCCUUUAAGACUGCAUCGCUUGAAUCAUGGAGAGGCGAGUGGAAUUCCGAGUGUAGAGGUGAAAUUCGUAGAUAUUCGGAAGAACACCAGUGGCGAAGGCGGCUCGCUGGACAUGUAUUGACGCUGAGGUGCGAAAGCGUGGGGAGCAAACAGG
rnacentral:rRNA from 1 species